rnacentral:rRNA from 1 species
UACGUAGGGGGCUAGCGUUGUCCGGAAUCAUUGGGCGUAAAGGGUGCGUAGGCGGCGCGGUAAGUCGGAUGUGAAAUCUCGGAGCUUAACUUCGAAACUGCAUUCGAUACUGCCGUGCUUGAGGACUGGAGAGGAGACUGGAAUUUACGGUGUAGCGGUGAAAUGCGUAGAUAUCGUAAGGAAGACCAGUGGCGAAGGCGAAUCUCUGGACAGUUACUGACACUGAGGCACGAAGGCCAGGGGAGCAAACGGG